CUUCCUAAUGGAAACGCUCACU
rnacentral:rRNA from 1 species